GAUGAACGCUGGCGGCGUGCCUAAUACAUGCAAGUCGAGCGAACGGGCGAGAAGCUUGCUUCUCUGAUGUUAGCGGCGGACGGGUGAGUAACACGUGGAUAACCUACCUAUAAGACUGGGAUAACUUCGGGAAACCGGAGCUAAUACCGGAUGAUAUUUUGAACCGCAUGGUUCAAAAGUGAAAGACGGUCUUGCUGUCACUUAUAGAUGGAUCCGCGCUGCAUUAGCUAGUUGGUAAGGUAACGGCUUACCAAGGCAACGAUGCAUAGCCGACCUGAGAGGGUGAUCGGCCACACUGGAACUGAGACACGGUCCAGACUCCUACGGGAGGCAGCAGUAGGGAAUCUCCCGCAAUGGGCGAAAGCCUGACGGAGCAACGCCGCGUGAGUGAUGAAGGUCUUCGGAUCGUAAAACUCUGUUAUUAGGGAAGAACAUAUGUGUAAGUAACUGUGCACAUCUUGACGGUACCUAAUCAGAAAGCCACGGCUAACUACGUG
rnacentral:rRNA from 1 species